AGUGGAUGAUAACACCUUGGUAAUGUCAACUCCUGAAUGUGCACUGGGGAGCAAACCUUGGAGAGCUGAGCAUGCG
ensembl:snoRNA SNORD39 Small nucleolar RNA SNORD55/SNORD39